rnacentral:lncRNA from 1 species
CCCAAAGCCAAGAAACCCCCCAAAAAUCCGGGAUCUCCACUCCAAAAGACCCCAUAAAAGUGCCUCCGCCCCCCACUGCUCCUUCAGUAUGGAUGUGGAGGGUGAGACCCCCCCCCCAAAAUAAUAGGGACCCCACAAAUGUCCCUACACGCAUUGGGGUCAUUUUGGGGUCAUUUGGGGUCACUUUGGAGGCAUUCGAGGUCACUUUGGGGUCUUUUGGGUCAUUCAAGGUCAUUUUAGGGACAUUUUGGGGUCGUUUUGGGGUUGCUCAAGGUCACUUUGGGGACAUUUGGGGUCACUUUGGGGUCAUUUGGGGACAUUCAAGGUCACUUUGGGGUCAUUUGGGGUCAUUCAAGGUCACUUUGGGGACAUUUUGGGGUCGUUUUGGGGUUGCUCAAGGUCACUUUGGGGACAUUUGGGGUCAUUUUGGGGUCAUUUUGGGGUCAUUCAAAGUCAUUUUAGGGACAUUUUUGGGUCGUUUUGGGGUCGCUCAAGGUCACUUUGGGGUCAUUUUGGGAUCACUUUGGGGUCGUUUUAGGGUCAUUCAUGGUCACUUUGGGGUCAUUCAAGGUCACUUUGGGGUCAUUUGGGGUCAUUCGAGGUCAUUUUGGGGUCGUUUUAGGGUCAUUCAAGGUCACUUUGGGGUCAUUUUGGGAUCACUUUGGGGUCAUUUUGGGAUCACUUUUGGGUCGUUUUAGGGUCAGUCAAGGUCACUUUGGGGUCAUUUUGGGGUAAUUUGGGGUCAUUCAAGGUCACUUUGGGGUCGUUUGGGGUCACUUUCGGGUUAUUUUGGGGUCACUUUGGGGUCAUGUGGGUUCAUUCAAGGUCACUUCUGGGGUCAUUCAGGGUCAUUUUGGGGACAUUUUUGUGUCACUCAAGGUCACUCAAGGUCACUUUGGGGUCAUUUGGGGUCACUUUGGGGACAUUUGGGGGACAUUUGGGGUCAUUUGGGGUCAUUCAAGGUCACUUUGGGGUCAUUUGGGGGACAUUUGGUGUCACUAUGGGGUCAUUUAGGGUCAAUUAAGGUCACCUUGGGGUUAUUUGGGGGUCAUUUGGGGUCACCUUGGGGUCGUUCAAGGUCACUGUGGUGUCGUUCUGGGGUCAUUCACGGUCACUUUGGGGUCACUUUGGGGUCAUUCAAGGUCACUUUGGGGUCUUUUUGGUGUCAUUUGGGGUCAUUCAAGGUCACUUUGGGGUGAUUUUGGGGACACUUUGGGGUCAUUCAAGGUCACUUUGGGGUUAUUUGGGGGACAUUGGGGGUCAUUUGGGGUCAUUCAAGGUCACUUUCGGGUCGUUUUGGGGUCAUUCAAGGUCAUUUUGGGGACAUUUGUGGGUCAUUUGGGGUCAUUCAAGGUCAUUCAAGGUCACUUUGGGGUCAUUCAAGGUCAUUCAAGGUCGUUUUGGGGUCAUUCAAGGUCAUUUGGUGGACAUUUGGGGGUCAUUUGGAUCAUUCAAGGUCACUUUGGGGUCAUUUUGGGGACACUUUGGGGUCAUUCAAGGUCACUUUGGGGUCGUUUUAGGGUCAUUCAAGGUCACUUUGGGGUCGUUCAAGGUCACUUUGGGAUCGUUUUAGGGUCAUUCAAGGUCACUUUGGGGUCAUUUGGGGACAUUUGGGGGUCAUUUGGGGUCAUUCAAGGUCACUUUGGGGUCAUUCAAGGUCACUUUGGGGUCACUUUGGGGUCACUUUGGGGAUCACUU